rnacentral:rRNA from 1 species
AUUGAACGCUGGCGGCAGGCCUAACACAUGCAAGUCGAGCGGAUGAAGGGAGCUUGCUCCUGGAUUCAGCGGCGGACGGGUGAGUAAUGCCUAGAAAUCUGCCUGGUAGUGGGGGAUAACGUCCGGAAACGGGCGCUAAUACCGCAUACGUCCUGAGGGAGAAAGUGGGGGAUCUUCGGACCUCACGCUAUCAGAUGAGCCUAGGUCGGAUUAGCUAGUUGGUGGGGUAAAGGCCUACCAAGGCGACGAUCCGUAACUGGUCUGAGAGGAUGAUCAGUCACACUGGAACUGAGACACGGUCCAGACUCCCACGGGAGGCAGCAGUGGGGAAUAUUGGACAAUGGGCGAAAGCCUGAUCCAGCCAUGCCGCGUGUGUGAAGAAGGUCUUCGGAUUGUAAAGCACUUUAAGUUGGGAGGAAGGGCAGUAAGUUAAUACCUUGCUGUUUUGACGUUACCAACAGAAUAAGCACCGGCUAACUUCGUG